GUGCAGGAGUCAGGCCCAGUCAGGACACAGCAUGGACAUGAGGGUCCCCGCUCAGCUCCUGGGGCUCCUGCUGCUCUGGCUCCCAUGUGCCAGAUGCGACAUCCAGAUGACCCAGACUCCAUCCUCCCUGUCUGCAUCUGUAGGAGACAAAGUCACCAUCACUUGCCGGGCAAGUCAGGGUAUUAGCAGUUAUUUAGCCUGGUAUCAGCAGAAACCAGGGAAAGCCCCUAAGCUCCUGAUCUAUUAUGCAUCCAGUUUGCAAAGCGGGGUCCCAUCAAGGUUCAGUGGAAGUGGCUCUGGGACAGAUUUUACUCUCACCAUCAGCAGUCUGCAGCCUGAAGAUAUCGCAACAUAUUACUGUCAACAGUAUGAUAAGCUCCCUCCCACAGUGUUACAAGUCAUAACAUAAACCACCAAGGGAAACAGAAGUGUGAUGCUCGGCUG